UACGCAGGCGGCUUGAUAAGUUGGGUGUGAAAGCCCGGGGCUCAACCCCGGAACUGCAUUCAAAACUGUCUGGCUUGAAUACGGGAGAGGGAAGCGGAAUUCCUGGUGUAGAGGUGAAAUUCGUAGAUAUCAGGAGGAACACCAGUGGCGAAAGCGGCUUCCUGGCCCGAUAUUGACGCUCAUGUACGAAAGCGUGGGGAGCAAACAGGAUUAGAUACCCUGGUAGUCC
rnacentral:rRNA from 1 species